GCCUUCGUAGCUCAGUGGUAGAGCAACUGAUUCGUAAUCAGUAGGUCGUGGGUUCAACUCCCGUCGAAGGCUCCA
rnacentral:tRNA from 1 species